GCAAGUCGAGCGGAACUUUGGGAGCUUGCUCCCAUUGUUUAGCGGCGGACGGGUGAGUAACACGUGGGCAACGUGCCCUGCAGAUCGGGAUAACUCCGGGAACCCGGUGCUAAUACCGAAUAGUUUUUUGCCCCUCCUGGGGCGAAACGGAAAGACGGUUUCGGCUGUCACUGCAGGAUGGGCCCGCGGCGCAUUAGCUAGUUGGUGAGGUAAUGGCUCACCAAGGCGACGAUGCGUAGCCGACCUGAGAGGGUGAUCGGCCACACUGGGACAUGAGACACCGGCCCAGACUCCUACGGGAGGCAGCAGUAGGGAAUCUUCCGCAAUGGACGAAAGUCUGACGGAGCAACGCCGCGUGAGUGCGAAGGUUUUCGGAUCGUAAAACUCUGUUGUAAGGGAAGAACACAUGCCAUUUAGCUGAUGGCAUC
rnacentral:rRNA from 1 species